AGAUUGAACGCUGGCGGCAUGCUUUACACAUGCAAGUCGAACGGCAGCGCGGGGCAACCUGGCGGCGAGUGGCGAACGGGUGAGUAAUAUAUCGGAACGUACCCAAGAGUGGGGGAUAACGUAGCGAAAGUUACGCUAAUACCGCAUACGAUCUAAGGAUGAAAGCAGGGGACCGCAAGGCCUUGUGCUCCUGGAGCGGCCGAUAUCUGAUUAGCUAGUUGGUAGGUAAAGGCCUACCAAGGCUACGAUCAGUAGCUGGUCUGAGAGGACGACCAGCCACACUGGAACUGAGACACGGUCCAGACUCCUACGGGAGGCAGCAGUGGGGGUAAUUUUGGACAAGUGGGCGCAAGCCUGAUCCAGCAAUGCCGCGUGAGUGAAGGAGGCCUU
rnacentral:rRNA from 1 species